GCGUUGGGAGUGCAGCGGUUCGAGCACGUGCCCCAGGAUAGGGUGAGAUGUGGGUUCGAGUUACACCUAACGCA